rnacentral:rRNA from 1 species
CAGGCCUAACACAUGCAAGUCGAACGGGAAGUGGUGUUUCCAGUGGCGAACGGGUGAGUAACACGUGGGUGAUCUGCCCCGCACUUCGGGAUAAGCCUGGGAAACUGGGUCUAAUACCGGAUACGACCCCCUGGUAGGUCAGGGGGUGGAAAGAUUUAUCGGUGUGGGAUGAGCCUGCGGCCUAUCAGCUUGUUGGUGGGGUAAUGGCCUACCAAGGCGUCGACGGGUAGCCGGCCUGAGAGGGUGAUCGGCCACAUUGGGACUGAGACACGGCCCAGACUCCUACGGGAGGCAGCAGUGGGGAAUAUUGCACAAUGGGCGCAAGCCUGAUGCAGCGACGCCGCGUGGGGGAUGACGGCCUUCGGGUUGUAAACUCCUUUCGACAGGGACGAAGCUUUGGUGACGGUACCUGUAGAAGAAGCACCGGCUAACUACGUGCCAGCAGCCGCGGUAAU